GAAUCCACUACAGGUCGUUUUCUUCUUGGGAGAUCUAGAGAGCACGGAGUUGUCGGUGAUAUGAGAGAUGUUUGGCCAAAUGCUCGUGUGAGAAAGAACGUAUCCCUUAUACGGACGUAUCAUGGAUUCAAAGGUACCAAACAAGGUCCACUCGAGUUCUUCAAGUUAAUAUUCCGAGCACUUUGCUUGUGCUGGGAUCGCCAAACUCAGGAUCUACAUGUUGACUGGAUCCUUUUCAGAGGCAGAUCUCUCAUACCCGUCUCGUGUGAGGUGGUAAGCGACAACAUUGAUGGCUUUUAUCCUUCUUCUCAUUAUCCUGUAUACGCCGAGUUCAUGCUUCCUCGUUCAGUAAGGCUAACCGAAGCAUCCCCUGAAAACGAAACCUAAACUAUACUUGUUGAACUUUUCGCCAUUUCGCUCUUGUGCAUUGUUAUUUAUUGAUUGAUUUUUUUUUCUUUUUGUUGCUGGUAUAUGGCUCAAAGAUCUUGUUUCUGUGAAUUCAUUGAGA
rnacentral:misc_RNA from 1 species